rnacentral:rRNA from 1 species
UACGUAGGGGGCUAGCGUUGUUCGGAAUUACUGGGCGUAAAGCGCGCGUAGGCGGCUUUGUAAGUUAGAGGUGAAAGCCCGGAGCUCAACUCCGGAAUUGCCUUUAAGACUGCAUCGCUAGAAUCAUGGAGAGGUUAGUGGAAUUCCGAGUGUAGAGGUGAAAUUCGUAGAUAUUCGGAAGAACACCAGUGGCGAAGGCGACUAACUGGACAUGUAUUGACGCUGAGGUGCGAAAGCGUGGGGAGCAAACAGG